GACGAACGCUGGCGGCGUGCUUAACACAUGCAAGUCGAACGGAAAGGCCCUGCUUUUGUGGGGUGCUCGAGUGGCGAACGGGUGAGUAACACGUGAGUAACCUGCCCUUGACUUUGGGAUAACUUCAGGAAACUGGGGCUAAUACCGGAUAGGAGCUCCUGCUGCAUGGUGGGGGUUGGAAAGUUUCGGCGGUUGGGGAUGGACUCGCGGUUUAUCAGCUUGUUGGUGGGGUAGUGGCUUACCAAGGCUUUGGCGGGUAGCCGGCCUGAGAGGGUGACCGGCCACAGUGGGACUGAGAUGCGGCCCAGACUCCUACGGGAGGCAGCAGUGGGGAAUAGUGCAAAAUGGGCGGAAGCCUUAUGCAGCAACGCCGCGUGGGGGAUGACGGCCUUCGGGUUGUAAACCGCUUUCGCCUGUGACGAAGCGUGAGUGACGGUAAUGGGUAAAGAAGCACCGGCUAACUACGUG
rnacentral:rRNA from 1 species